AUCUGCAGAAGGAGUGUAAAUCAACCCAUCCUGCCCUCCCUGCUCACCUCAAGGGAAGUUGCAAGGUUCAUAUGAGAUUACAGGUGCGAAGGUGUAGAUGGUAGAGGGUGGUACACACCGCCUGGUACCUCUUAGGCUCCUCCACCAAGCAGGCCUAGGAAACGAACCCAGACAGACUCGUGGGAAUGCACAGACGGGGUAGAAUGCCACGGAGUCAAGAGCUGGGGAAUCCGGGAUCAGAGGGAAGAGGCUUUAAAUGGGGCGCGCAGUGCCGUGGUUAAGAGCAUGGAUUCGGCCGGGCACGGUGGCUCACGCCACUAAUCCCAGCACUUCGGGAGGCCAAGCGGGCGGAUCACCUGAGCUCAUGAGUUCGAGACCAGCCUGGCCAACAUGGUGAAACCACGGCUCUACUAAAAAUACAAAAAUUAGCCGGGCGUUAUGG
rnacentral:lncRNA from 1 species